GUGAUGCCAAACCGAUCGUCUGGGGAAAUUUAACUACCAGGCGGGUAAUUGGGUACAUUUAUUGGCACUCUCCGGAGGCGGGAUACAGUUCUCCUGUGGGGCUUUGGCAGAAGUCCUGAGUCCUGACCCUGCCCUGAGGAAAAGGCGCUUCCAACGACAAACUGUAAAUAGGCUGGGAGUUUACAGGCCAGGGCCAGGCCAGAUACACCACCAGCCAUGGGAGUCACUCACUCCGCCACGUCACAGGAGACACUCCGAGAAACUUCUUGAAGUUCUUACUGAAAAAGUGUCUCUUUAAAUAAUAUUUUCUCGCUCUUCUUUUCAAACAAACACAUUGCCCAUAUCUUUUUGUGUCAUAGAAUAUAUAGAAUAAAUGGAAAAUUAUACUACUUUUGUUUGCAAAAAGGCAUUCAUCAUUGAUAUUGUGGAGAAAAGGAAAGCAAAUGAAAAUGUAUGUCAUAGUGUGUAACUGGCAUCCAAUACAGGAAUACACUGCAAAUAUAUCAGCUAGGUAUUCCCAAAUAAAUUAUAAGACUUUCCUUACACUGUGGUAAAGUAGCUGAAAUUCUGAGCAUCAUUGUAUGGUGAAUAGCAAAUGUCCUAUAGCUGUUAACCUUCCAUCUCAACAUGUCUGUAAUUUCACCAGGGCAGGCCAACUGUCUGUGUGCCAGAGAGCAGGCCUCAUUCAAACAUACCUCUUAAAUGUAUUUACUCUCUGGUAAACACAGACAUUGUGUAAGAAUAAAAAAUAACAUGGCCAGCUGCUGGAGACCAGCGCAAAGACGAUUUAAAAAGAGUCCCAAGGUUUUACGAUACAUCCACUACACCACAGCAAUUAGGUCCUUGCAGUAACUUUCAUCUCUCCACAAAAAGGGGACUAAUGGGAGGAAAAUACAGCGCCCAGACACUGGGGAGUUAUAUGGCUCCCAAAUGGUCUGAAGCCAGAUCAGGGAACCCUUUAAAAAAUUGUGUUAGUGUCCCUGCCAACGUUUCUGAUGGAGAUACUGCAAAAUGAAAUUAUUAUACUUUUCACUCCUUUCAGUGUUACAUUUGAAGUGUUAAGUGUUUUUCAGUUCAUUGGUCAAUCAUUUUGUAGAUUUUAUUGACGCAUCUUAUCUACAGCAGACACAAUUUCAUUGUGACAUAGAAUAUUGUAAUGCUAGAUCUACCAAAAUAACCUCAGCGUCAAUACCCAGAAUUGCAAAGCCAUGCCUGAGUUAGUCCCUGAGCAUCACUUGCUACAGCAGCACUCAAAAAUACUCUCCACAAUAACAAAAUAGGAUUCAAGCAAUUACUAUUACUUAAUGUUGAAAAUCUAUUAAAACUCUCCUAAGAAGUUUUGGUUACACUUUACUUAAAGCCUACAUGUAUAAUGCAUUAUAAUUCAGUUAUAAUACACAGUAGGAGACUUGGCAUGAGCAUUUAUGAUGACCCCCUAACAAUGUCGUAUAAUCAUAUAAUGAUCCUCACUAAAAACCAGCCAUUUUUGAGUCAGUAAAAAUGUUGAUACAUAGUGAUACAUAACAUUAUAAGCCUUAUUGUAAGAUAUGAUGUACAGGUGCAUAACAUCAUGUAUGAAGCACUGUACCUACAGGCUAAAGUUUUACCAAAUUUAAAAAUCUGGCAGGUUAACCUCUAGCUCCCUCAGAGCUCCAGUUUACCCAGAGCGGCCAUCCCAGGUUACACCAAAGGGCACGGCCAUAUUCCCUCCAGAUGGAACCCUUCAAAUUAGCAGGUUUCAAAGAAAUACCAGCUGGACCACUCGUCAUGUGACAGUGUAUACCCUGCAGUCCACCUUUAGGAAAAAAUCACACUCAAUUAUUUGUAUUUCUUGACCAGGAGAGUGUUUUGCAUGGAAACCUGGGUUCAAGUGUUUUAUUAUUGUUUUCAUAUCCAAUGUAAAGUUUCACAGGCGGAUUUUACUCAGGUUUCAAUCCAGAUGGUGAAACCAAAUCAGUGCUAUCUCAUCGAAUUGGCAACACAGUGCUAUUUGGACAGCUGAUUGAAUAAGCUAACUACGCUCAAUAAUCAGCAUGAUUGGUGUUAGCGUGAAGAGAAUGUAAGGCCCACGUAAUGAGGCUGCAAUAACCAUUGGAACCAGGGAAUUGAAAUGGGGCUUGAGGGCCAAGUGUUAGUUUCCAAAUGAUUUGACCAAGGAGAACAGGAAAUAGAGGAUGGAAUUCUAAAUUUGUGAAUAUAGGAGAGGUUAGUAUGGCAAAACAAGAGCAGUAUUAUAAAUAUUAAUGACUGCCUUCAAAGUUGCACUCUCUUAGCUUAGUAACUUUAUGUCGUUUUUCUGGCAAUUCAGCAUGUUGCUGCUACAUAAUAACACAAAAAAACAUUCCCAACACCUGAACUAUUCUAUAAGUCAGGUGUGUUAAUCAUUUCUGUGCAUCUUUUUGAUAUUCCUCUACAUCCAAAUACCAUGAGUCCAUAUUUUAGUAAAAAUAGGAUUGUUGUAAGCCUCUGUACAAUUAUAAAGAAACUUAUUUUAAAUG